rnacentral:rRNA from 1 species
GUGGCGAACGGGUGAGUAACACGUGAGCAACCUGCCCUGGACUCUGGGAUAAGCGCUGGAAACGGCGUCUAAUACUGGAUAUGAGCCUCUAUCGCAUGGUGGGGGUUGGAAAGAUUUUUUGGUCUGGGAUGGGCUCGCGGCCUAUCAGCUUGUUGGUGAGGUAAUGGCUCACCAAGGCGUCGACGGGUAGCCGGCCUGAGAGGGUGACCGGCCACACUGGGACUGAGACACGGCCCAGACUCCUACGGGAGGCAGCAGUGGGGAAUAUUGCACAAUGGGCGGAAGCCUGAUGCAGCAACGCCGCGUGAGGGAUGACGGCCUUCGGGUUGUAAACCUCUUUUAGCAAGGAAGAAGCGAAAGUGACGGUACUUGCAGAAAAAGCGCCGGCUAACUACGUGCCAGCAGCCGCGGUAAUACGUAGGGCGCAAGCGUUAUCCGGAAUUAUUGGGCGUAAAGAGCUCGUAGGCGGUUUGUCGCGUCUGCUGUGAAAUCCCGAGGCUCAACCUCGGGCCUGCAGUGGGUACGGGCAGACUAGAGUGCGGUAGGGGAGAUUGGAAUUCCUGGUGUAGCGGUGGAAUGCGCAGAUAUCAGGAGGAACACCGAUGGCGAAGGCAGAUCUCUGGGCCGUAACUGACGCUGAGGAGCGAAAGGGUGGGGAGCAAACAGGCUUAGAUACCCUGGUAGUCCACCCCGUAAACGUUGGGAACUAGUUGUGGGGUCCUUUCCACGGAUUCCGUGACGCAGCUAACGCA